rnacentral:sRNA from 1 species
GUUGCCCAGGCUGGAGUGCAGUGGCAUGAUCAUGGGUCACUGCAACCUCGACCUGCUUGGCUUAAGCAAUCCUCCCACCUCAGCAGGAACUACAGGCACAGUAUGAAAACCCACCACAUAUCUAUGCCCUUGCAGAUAAUAUGUACAGAAACAUGAUCAUUGACAGAGAGAACCAGUGCGUCAUCAUCAGUGGUGAAAGUGGUGCUGGAAAAACAGUGGCUGCCAAAUAUAUCAUGAGCUACAUCUCCAGAGUGUCUGGAGGAGGGACCAAAGUCCAGCACGUGAAGGACAUCAUCCUGCAGUCCAACCCACUGCUUGAGGCCUUCGGGAACGCCAAGACUGUCCGGAACAACAACUCCAGCCGAUUUGGAAAAUACUUUGAAAUCCAGUUCAGUCCAGGUGGGGAACCAGAUGGUGGAAAGAUCUCCAACUUCCUUCUGGAAAAAUCUAGGGUGGUGAUGAGGAACCCAGGAGAGCGGAGUUUUCACAUAUUUUACCAGCUCAUCGAGGGCGCCUCUGCAGAGCAGAAGCACAGCCUUGGCGUCACCAGCAUGGACUAUUAUUACUACCUGAGCCUCUCGGGCUCAUACAAGGUUGAUGACAUUGACGACAGGCGGGAGUUUCAGGAAACUCUGCACGCCAUGAAUGUGAUUGGGAUCUUUGCAGAAGAGCAAACGCUGGUGUUGCAGAUAGUGGCGGGUAUUCUCCACCUGGGAAACAUCAGCUUCAAAGAAGUUGGCAACUACGCGGCUGUGGAGAGUGAAGAGU